CGGAAUGUGGCGCAGCCUGGUAGCGCACUUGCAUGGGGUGCAAGGGGUCGGAGGUUCGAAUCCUCUCAUUCCGA
rnacentral:tRNA from 2 species